rnacentral:lncRNA from 1 species
CGCCUUUCAAGCCAGCGGCCCUCGGAACGGCUGAGCAACGACACGGCGGCGGCGGCAGCGGCGGCGCCUAACCGCUUCGCCCACUCGAGCCGGACGCGAGGAGCACGGGGAAGCUCCUCCUCCGUCACCGGGAAACAGAAGAUCCGCCGCCCUGGUCCCUGCUUUCCCCCGUGCCCGUGGUGGGUGGGCGAGCAACAGGUGGUAGAUUCUCCUCCAACUCGCGUUGUGUGGUUGCUUGCUAGUGCUUUGUGGCUCCGACUUUUUCGGUACUACAGCUCCUCUAAUCGCUCGACCCUGUGGAUCACGCAUAUAUGAGUCCCGUACACACUGCUGCGCUGGGAUAUUGGGAUUUUCUUUUGCCGAUUUCGUGAAACGUUUCAGAUGCAUAGCGAUACCACGUUUCAGGUGUCAGUCAAAAAUGGGCUGGCAGGUUCAUAGUGUCAAUGGCACAUUAUGUUUUCUCUGCAUCGGCCAAGUCGGGAGAUGGACCUUUUGUCAAUGAUGAGAGUAUUACUUUCAGAACACUUAGUCUGAAUAUCUUAGCACACAUCUGUCUGAGAAUUGAGAUACAUACACCAAUAUCGCUGCCAAAACUGGCUUUUGGUGCCAAACUCAAAUAUGCGUUCACUAAUUUCAGCUUGGAGGAAGUUCCUGUCCAUGGCGACCCAGUGUUUGCCUUUCGUGGAAUUGUUCACCUUUUCUUUCCUUGCCUGUUGAUAUGUACAGUUACUGUGGAAUUAUCUGAAGAAAUUAAUGAAGUGGAAGGGUGCUUGGACUGCCCUUUAUAGUUUGGCUGCUCAAUUGAUUGGUAUUAUUACCCUUUUGCACAUUCAUUUGCAUGUCAUGAAAAUUUCUGAAAAUCUGCAGUCCUUUAAAAAAUAUCAAAUAUAGUUGGCCAAUUUCGUAAAAUUGUAGCGCAUGUUCAGUUGUUAUGCAGCUUACAUAUGGGAUAUUUGUUAUUUUUUUGUUUUUACACAUUCGUACCUCUAUUCGUGUAGUAAAGAUAAUUGAUGGAUAUUCACCAGUUAUGUUAUUUUCAGCUUGAGGCAUAACUUUAGCUUUCCUUCCCACAUUUUUUUGACUCACUUUAGAGCACUCAUUUUGACUAGUUUAAACCUAUAUCAUAUCUUUAGUAUAAACUGUCCCAUGCAAGAAAUGCCUGCCCGCUAGUCUUUGUUUCCCCGAUCAGAAAGAAGACACACAAGCACACACAUACCACCACCAUUUAUAGAUACAAACUGCUAAACACUUUCUAAAUAACCAUUUGCAGAGAAGAUUUAAGAGGAUUCACAUAGAUAAUACCUUAAGUGUACGAACCUUUGGGCCUGCAAAUAGCAGUGUCCCAUGUCAAAGAGCAAGAUCAAAGCAGGGUUUAUACUGAAUGGCAGGGCAAUUCUCCUUUGGCAGGGACGGUGAUAGCAUAGGCCAUUGUCCAGGACCUGCUACAUUGGCAUCCAUGCCAGAGGAGAACUGCACUGUGAUUCUCACCCUGAACACUCCAUAGUCACCAGUUUGUUUGUGGAGGAAGACCGUUGGUCUGUUUUUAGUCACACAAUGCUCUUCAUGUUACUCUUUCGUGCACAAUGUGCUUCUUGCCACUCACUGCAUGCUACCAUUGCAAAUAUAUAUAGGGCAGAAAUGAGUAAGAAAUCUGGAUAUGCUGCCGGAUAUGCUUCCAGAUCAGGAUAAUGCUUUCGAGAGGUAUUCCUCUAGCUCUGCCUUUCCCAUCUCCUCUGUCUUUUUGAGCUGAACCGUUGGACCAUAGAAAGAGAAUGACCCUUGCGCUUGUGCUAUCCCGUGCAAAGGUACUGACAUCACUAUUGCUAGUUAAACAAGUUUGAUUACUGAAAGAGUUCCGCAUAUGAGAUGACACAUUUUGCAUUAGAUACCAACGUGCAUCUUGAUUCAGUGGUUAAAUCCUAUGUAAACUGAUUCAAACAGGUUUACUGACGAUUCUAGUAAAUUUGGUAUUUUGAGCUAUUAUAAUUUAUACGUCUAGAAGUUCUGAUUGGCGCUAAUGUGUUGCUUGCAGCUUGCUAUGGACUAAAACAAACUGGGUACACUGUACAGCACUUGAGCUUGAGAAAGUGGUUAAAACAUACUACAGCAAUCAGAAACGAUUUUGCAUGACUACAAACCAUAGGCAUAAUUUCAAAUGAAAAUUAUUGAUUUUCUAUAUCGAAGAACAUGCCUGUUUCACAAUUCAUACUAAAACCAACUGACUGACCGCUGAAAAGCAUGCUAGCAGGCAACACCGCAUCACAUUAGCAUGGGUAACCAGAUUUACGCCAAUCCCAACAACACCACCUGAACAAUGAAAUUUGUAUUGAUGAAAGCAUAUUUUGUUUGGUACGGGCUUUGUUGUAGGGGGAAUUAAGUACUUUGGUCUAUGCCUAGUGCAUUGGAAAAUAUGGUGAGAAAGGUAAAUCCAACUUUUUAAUUGUUUACCUGAUAAAGGGCAAUGUAUUAAUAUCAAGCUAAUAUCAAUUAUACCUGACCUCUGCAACAACACGAUGUUAAGGGCAAGUCGAGACAUCAAGGAUGCGCGUCUAAUUUUUUUUUAAAGCCAAAGCAAUCAACGGCAUGCCACAACAAACAUCAACUUUAACCACCACCAUUGACAACACCCAAACUACAAGAGAGGUUCUCCAAAAACAUAUGCCACCACUGCCACUUUGCUAGUGAUGUUUGUUCAAAUAUAAGCUUGAAUUUAUGGAGCUAGCUGGAAUGGCUCACAAGUUACAUAAUUUAUGGAGAAGACAUUUGCACUGUCUUCUUCUAUUGAUUCAUGCAGCUACUUCCCUAACCAUGCAUAAACACAUUCAAAGGUCAAGCAGAUUUUGUUCUUUUUUCAUGUGAUAGAGGACCAUUUAUAUUAUUCUUUGUCGCGGAACAUCCCCAUGGAUCUUCCUAUUUGGUGCUGUCACAAGCUUCCUGAUCUGUGGAAGAAUUUAGUAAGUAUCUGAUUCUCCUGAAGAGCACUGAGCUUUACAGAAAGCAUGCACCAGCUGCUGCUGUGGGCGUCGAAAGGCCGCGUAACAUACUGAUCUUAAAUUGAGACGAUCUUUCACAUGCCACUCGCAGGGCUUUACCUUUUAGUAGUGCAAAAUAUACCACGUGUUGCCAAAAAAAUUUGUGUGUGUGUGUGGGGGGGUACCACUUGUGGCUAUUGAUUAUUUUCUUGUUAUUUUCAGAUUUCACCAGAAUUUGCAAUGUCUUGCUAUUUUACCACAUUUUGUUACGAAAUGUUGCAGAUAAGACCGGGAAAAUGACAAAGCAGAUAUCACACUACAUUUAGCCUCACCGACGAUCUAUUCUGCACCAACACAAGAAGUAGAGGAAAUAGUCCAUCCCUAAAACCAAAGCGAGAUGACGGAAAAGGGCAAACGAAUGCUGGCUGCGCAAAGUAUUACAAAUUGCCGACAGAUGCUACGGUGCUUACAUGUUACUCCGUCUAUUCAAGAACAUACAUAGUUUUUGACAAGACAUGAUCAACUGUAAUGUUAAUAUUUUUCAUAUGAUCCAAAUAUCUUUAUGCGUAUUAGACUAUUAGUAGCCAAAUUAAACAAAGUUUGUGCAUAAGGUUGAACAAGUUUGACCAGUGGUAAAUCCUGAAGUCGUCAGUUUUUCCUGGCGAAGCCCGGAGGGAGUAAAUUUCAUGCCUACUAGUACUGGAAGAAUGAAACUUGUUGAAGAUGCCACAGCCAGAGGUGCCUGGAGAUAUGCUCGGUAUGCAAGUCUUCAAGGAAGGCAGAUGCAUAAGCGGAUAUGCUGAUGCCAGCUUCAGCACCAACUGCCAUUGUGG